CUAUGCCUACGGGAGGCAGCAGUGAGGAAUAUUGGUCAAUGGACGAGAGUCUGAACCAGCCACGUAGCGUGAAGGAUGACUGCCCUACGGGUUGUAAACUUCUUUUAUAAAGGAAUAAAGUGAGGCACGUGUGCCUUUUUGUAUGUACUUUAUGAAUAAGGAUCGGCUAACUCUGUGCCAGCAGCCGCGGUAAUACGGAGGAUCCGAGCGUUAUCCGGAUUUAUUGGGUUUAAAGGGAGCGUAGAUGGGUUGUUAAGUCAGUUGUGAAAGUUUGCGGCUCAACCGUAAAAUUGCAAUUGAUACUG
rnacentral:rRNA from 1 species